UGGGGAAUCUUGCGCAAUGGCCUAACGGCUGACGCAGCGACGCCGCGUGAGGGAUGACGCUCCUCGGAGUGUAAACCUCUCUUGCCCGGGACGAAUUGCCAACAUUCGUUGGCUUGACGGUACCGGGUGAAUAAGCACCGGCUAACUCCGUGCCAGCAGCCGCGGUAAUACGGGGGGUGCGAGCGUUGUCCGGAAUCACUGGGCGUAAAGGGCGCGUAGGUGGUCUGAUAAGGGUGUGGUGAAAGCCCCGGGCUUAACCUGGGAAUUGCGUUUGAAACGACAAGGCUAGAGUGCAGCAGAGGGGAGGGGAAUUCCAUGUGUAGCAGUGAAAUGCGGAGAGAUGUGGAAGAACACCGAUGGCGAAGGCAGCUCCCUGGGUUGACACUGACGCUCAUGCACGAAAGCGU
rnacentral:rRNA from 1 species